GAUGAACGCUGGCGGCGUGCUUAACACAUGCAAGUCGAACGGUGAAAGAGAGCUUGCUCUCUGGAUCAGUGGCGAACGGGUGAGUAACACGUGAGCAAUCUGCCCCUGACUCUGGGAUAAGCGCUGGAAACGGCGUCUAAUACCGGAUACGAGCUGCGAAGGCAUCUUCAGCAGCUGGAAAGAACUUCGGUCAGGGAUGAGCUCGCGGCCUAUCAGCUAGUUGGUGAGGUAACGGCUCACCAAGGCGUCGACGGGUAGCCGGCCUGAGAGGGUGACCGGCCACACUGGGACUGAGACACGGCCCAGACUCCUACGGGAGGCAGCAGUGGGGAAUAUUGCACAAUGGGCGAAAGCCUGAUGCAGCAACGCCGCGUGAGGGACGACGGCCUUCGGGUUGUAAACCUCUUUUAGCAGGGAAGAAGCGAAAGUGACGGUACCUGCAGAAAAAGCACCGGCUAACUACG
rnacentral:rRNA from 1 species